UGAUGUUAGGAAAGGAUACAGAUAGG
rnacentral:piRNA from 1 species